CGACUCUCGGCAACGGAUAUCUCGGCUCUCGCAUCGAUGAAGAACGUAGCGAACUGCGAUACUUGGUGUGAAUUGCAGAAUCCCGUGAACCAUCGAGUCUUUGAACGCAAGUUGCGCCCGAAGCCAUUCGGCGGAGGGCACGUUUGCCUGGGUGUCACAC
rnacentral:rRNA from 1 species